GGUGCCCAACCAAUAGUGGUGCUCCGCCAGAACAGAGGCAACUUCACUCUCCCUUAUCCACCCGAGAAAGCGAGGGGAUGAAGGUGGAGUGGAGUAGUCUGUGCAUUGAGGAAAUGAUUGACGGACAGCCCCCCCCCCCUUCCAAUCGGAGCGCUGUGCGCAGCCUGGCCAACCUAUGGGACUUGGCUGCUAAGGCGAGAGGCGGGCUUCUCAGAAGUAGGAAGUAUUCGUGGGUCCGUCUGCAGUCAGCCGGGCAAAGGGCUCGGCGGACUCUGGAAAUAGCGCGAACCGUGGACGUGCUCAUGACGAGGGGGGAGUGAGCUCACGAAGGCCACGUGCAGGCUGCCCAGAGCUUGCCCAGACUCACAAAAGGGGUUCCCUGAAUUGCGACUUCCUUUCUCUCUGCGUGGUGUGCUUAAUUCCAAGCUCCUUGUCAUGUUGGCUGAAUCAACAUCGCCAGGAUCAGAGAUAAGUGUCCUGUUCCAAGACGUCAUAACCUGGAAGAAACAUGUCUUGGAUUUGAUUAAGGAUAUGGCAAGAAGGCAGUGGUCUGCACACCAGGAAGUGGAUUCUCACCAGAUACCAAGGCUGUGGCCACUUUGAUUUUGGACUUUCCAGCCUGCAGAACUGUGAGAAAUAGACUGGGUGAUCAAGGCUACUGAAGGGGUAUUUGAGUUCAUUUAUCUGACUUCUAAGGACAACAGUGUUUACAUUCAGAAGUGGAAACCUCGGAAGAAAUUCUUCAUCUAGGAUGAUCAAGUCUCCUGAGGAGAAAUUUCAAUAUACCUACACAUCUGAUGAGAAAAAGUACCAUGGUGAAAAAAUACAUUCAUGAUUCUGUCUACUGAGAAGGCCUGGAAGCAGUGACACCCCAGUAGCAAUGACGAACCCGUGUCCAGAUACAAUUUUCUAAAUUCCAUUGUUCAACUAAAAACCAAUGGGACAUGGCGAAGAGUAUAAAAAGGAAAAACGGUGCCUUUGCAGUGGAGAAACUUGGCGGACCCCAGCCUAACCAAGUG